rnacentral:tRNA from 1 species
GGAGGGUACAGCUCAGUGGUAGAGUGCGUGCUUAGCAUGCACGAGGUCCUGGGUUCAGUCCCCAGCACCUCCA